rnacentral:lncRNA from 1 species
UCAGUUUGGUUUGUACGAGGGCUGUAAUACCGAUUUAAACAUGAUUUAUUAUUGUCCGAUAUAAAAUGUGCUGGUUGGCUAGGUGUGUAUCUACUGAGACCGUUGGUCCGAUACUGUCCAAGCUGUCACAGAGAGGGGAACCAUGGAAACAGGUUCUGGGUGCUGUUUAUCUCAGAAUACCCAGGAGUCAGAUGUUGAGCGCUUGACUUUCCUCCCGUUGCUCCCCACCUGAUCAAUCCACUCGUUACCAAAGCCUACAAGUUAUUUCCAGAGAACCUGAUGUAUAUUAUAACUCAGUAUGAACCCUAAUAAAGCUUUAUACCUGAUGGAUGAUGAUGAUGAUGGAUCUCUGGCAUUGAGGUGAAUCUGUUGCUCCGAUCUGAUAAAAGACUCAUUAUAAAAGAGACUGAGUGUUUUUAAAAACCGCACCAGCAUGCUUCAGGACGUUCUAGAAUCAGGCUUCAGGAAGUUCUAGAACAAGGCUUCAGGAUGUUGUAGAACCAGGCUUCAGGACGUUGUAGAACCAGGCUUCAGGACGUUGUAGAACCGGGCUUCAGGACGUUGUAGAACCAGGCUUUAGGACGUUCUAGAACCAGGCUUCAGGAAGUUCUACAACCAGGCUUCAGGACGUUAUAGAACCAGGCUAAAGGAUGUUCUAGAACCAGGCUUGAGGAUGUUGUAGAACCAGGCUUCAGGAUGUUCUAGAACCAGACUUCAGG